AGUGACAGCUGUACGAAAGAGUGGUUUUCUUCGGACACUCUUCAAGGUGCUGCAUGGUUGUCGUCAGCUCGUGCCGUGAGGUGUCGGGUUAAGUCCCAUAACGAGCGCAACCCUUACCGUUAGUUACCAUCAGGUUAAGCGUGGGGACUCUAGCGGGACUGCCACCGUAAGGUGAGAGGAAGGUGGGGAUGACGUCAAAUCAGCACCGGCCCUUAUGUCCAGGGCUACACACGUGUUACAAUGGCCGGUACAAAGGGCAGCUACUUCGCGAGAAGAUGCUAAUCUCGAAAGCCGGUCUCAGUUCGGAUCGAAGUCUGCAACCCGACUUCGUGAAGCUGGAUUCGCUAGUAAUCGCGCAUCAGCCAUGGCGCGGUGAAUACGUUCCCGGGCCUU
rnacentral:rRNA from 1 species